AGUGAACGCUGGCGGUAGGCCUAACACAUACAAGUCGAACGGCAGCACAGUAAGAGCUUGCUCUUACGGGUGGCGAGUGGCGGACGGGUGAGGAAUACAUCGGAAUCUACUUUUUCGUGGGGGAUAACGUAGGGAAACUUACGCUAAUACCGCAUACGACCUACGGGUGAAAGCAGGGGAUCUUCAGACCUUGCGCGAUUGAAUGAGCCGAUGUCGGAUUGGCUAGUUGGCGGGGUAAAGGCCCACCAAGGCGACGAUCCGUAGCUGGUCUGAGAGGAUGAUCAGCCACACUGGAACUGAGACACGGUCCAGACUCCUACGGGAGGCAGCGGUGGGGAAUAUUGGACAAUGGGCGCAAGCCUGCUCCAGCCAUACCGCGUGGGUGAAGAAGGCCUUCGGGUUGUAAAGCCCUUUUGUUGGGAAAGAAAAGCAGCAGGCUAAUACCCCGCUGUUCUGACGGUACCCAAAGAAUAAGCACCGGCUAACUUCGUG
rnacentral:rRNA from 1 species